rnacentral:SRP_RNA from 1 species
GCCAGGCAUGGUGGCGCGUGCCUGUAAUCCCAGCUACUUGGGAGGCUGAGGCAGGAGAAUCAUUUGAACCCGGGAAGCGGAGGUUGCAGUGAGCUGAGAUCACACCACUGCACCCCCACCCGGGUGACACAGCGAGACUCUGUCUCAA